rnacentral:rRNA from 1 species
AACGAACGCUGGCGGCAGGCUUAACACAUGCAAGUCGAGCACCCCGCAAGGGGAGCGGCAGACGGGUGAGUAACGCGUGGGAACGUACCCUUUGCUACGGAAUAGCUCCGGGAAACUGGAAUUAAUACCGUAUGUGCCCUACGGGGGAAAGAUUUAUCGGCAAAGGAUCGGCCCGCGUUGGAUUAGCUAGUUGGUGGGGUAAUGGCCUACCAAGGCGACGAUCCAUAGCUGGUCUGAGAGGAUGAUCAGCCACAUUGGGACUGAGACACGGCCCAAACUCCUACGGGAGGCAGCAGUGGGGAAUAUUGGACAAUGGGCGCAAGCCUGAUCCAGCCAUGCCGCGUGAGUGAUGAAGGCCUUAGGGUUGUAAAGCUCUUUCACCGGAGAAGAUAAUGACGGUAUCCGUAGAAGAAGCCCCGGCUAACUUCGUGCCAGCCGCCGCCGUAAAAC